AGCGUGCCCCAGGUGGGCUGCACAGAGAAGUGGGCAGUCAUAAAGCCCAGCCUUUAUGACACCCCCAACCCUGCAGGACUUCUACCAGGAAGUGGCCAACCCACUGCUGACAGCAGUGACCUUCGAGUACCCAAGCAAUGCCGUGGAGGAGGUCACUCAGAACAACUUCCGGCUCCUCUUCAAGGGCUCAGAGAUGGUGGUGGCUGGGAAGCUCCAGGACCGGGGGCCUGAUGUGCUCACAGCCACAGUCAGUGGGAAGCUGCCUACACAGAACAUCACUUUCCAAACGGAGUCCAGUGUGGCAGAGCAGGAGGCGGAGUUCCAGAGCCCCAAGUAUAUCUUCCGCAACUUCAUGGAAAGGCUCUGGGCAUACCUGACUAUCCAGCAGCUGCUGGAGCAAAC
rnacentral:sRNA from 1 species